CCGUAAACACAGUUUCUCUUCCGCUCACCAAAGUUAAGCAACCUCGAUCCGGGUUAGUACUUAGAUGGGGGAACAGUUGGGAACACCGGGUGCU